rnacentral:rRNA from 1 species
UACAGAGGUGGCAAGCGUUGUUCGGAAUUACUGGGCGUAAAGGGCGCGUAGGCGGCCUACUAAGUCAGACGUGAAAUCCCCCGGCUUAACCUGGGAACUGCGUCUGAUACUGGAAGGCUUGAGGAUGGGAGAGGGAUGUAGAAUUCCAGGUGUAGCGGUGAAAUGCGUAGAUAUCUGGAGGAAUACCGGUGGCGAAGGCGGCAUCCUGGACCAUUACUGACGCUCAGGCACGAAAGCGUGGGGAUCAAACAGG